UUUCCCUUUUCACUUUCUUUUUUGGAUUCUUUUCUCUCUUUCUCUUUUUUCUUUUAAAAGAUAAUAAGUAACAAAACUAAAAUUUGAUACUACUAAAUCCAAGAAACAAAGUUCCAAUUGCUUCAAAUUAAAAUACUAACUAAACAAAAAAUUACUAAUAACCUAAAAUAAAGAAAAUAUUAUUAUAUUUUUUUUGUAGUUUUUUUUAAAAAAUAAAAUAAAGCAAAGAAGUUGAACUAAAAGUUAAAAUAUCAAUAUUAAACCUAAAAUAAACAUCUAAACACUCAAAUGUGUAAAAUAUCGUGAAUGGUCAAAAAUUGCAUGUCUACAACUGCCCCUCUUUGACUGGAAAUACGAAGUAUUUUCAGGCAAAGAACGACUAGACAGAUUUUUUGACCCGACCCUUAUUUAAAGAGACCAAAAGCUAAAAGAAAGGAGAAUGUGACCGAGCCCUGGUAUCUGAGCUGCCUACAUAUCCUUGGCUAUAAAGGAAUCAGGCCACGUGUAGUUCAGAGGGAGUGAGAUGAUGGAGUAUGCCGAGGUGAAGAGCCGGUCGACGGUGCCGUUCCGCCGAGGUUCCGGUCCGCAGUCCCGUUAUUACAUCAAAAAAUCAAGAAAUGGAAAAGACUAGCUAAGCCUGCCAACUACGAGUUACAAGAUUCCUAUCUUUGAGUCUUCUGAAGCUUGAUCUUGAGUUUUGAAUGGUUCUUCAUACAGACUUUGGAUUUGAACCUAGACGUUUGCUAGUUGCAGGUGCUAGUUCGUUCUUCUUCUUCAGCCUUUCAGACCAAAACGGGACAUGCAGAGCUUGUGACCUCAGCCCUGUCUUGAGCAACUCACAUCUUUCAUUAACUUCUGCAUUUGGAUUCACUUCUUGUCUUUCUUUUUGUUCAAGAUUGUGACUAACUUCUGUUGAUCAUCUCGAACUGCUGACUCGCAUUCUUGAUGCGAGCUUCUUUUGUUGCUGACCUGAAUUGCAUUCUGAAUUGAAUUCUAUUAUUUUCCAGGUGGGCGCCUGAUUGCUGAACUUGAACCGUCUUUUCUUGUUAAUUGACACUGUUUUCCCUUGCACCUUGAACCAUUUUCCUUCGAAACUUGAAUUGUCUUCCUUCGAAACUGCUUUCCCUUGAAACUCGAGUUGUCUUCCUUCGAAACUGCUUUCCCUUGAAACUUGAGGUAUCUUCCCUUGUUCUCCAGGUGGGCACCUGAUUACAAGAAAACAGACAAAACAAAAGAAAUUUUUUCUGUCCCAGUUUGCACUAGGAAGAUUUGUGAGUUUUUAGCAAAAUUAUAAAUCACUUGUACUAUUGAUGCAAUGAUGAGACUAAACUAAAGAAUAGACUAGGAAAACUAUAAACUAAGUUUGACUAAAGUAAAGACUGACCCUAUUCUCCAGGCGGGGCCCCUGAUUUAAAGAAAACUAAACAUUGAUAACUUAAGAAAACUAAAAAUUGACCCAUUUUUUCAAAUCCAGACUUUCAUUUUUUUUUCAAAAUAUCCUAGGAGAAAAUUCGUGAGACUAGGUUUUCUAUCUUAGGAGAAAGAUUCAUCAGACUAAGACGUUAAUCCUAGGAGGAAAUUCAUCAGACUAGGCCUUUUCCUUUUUUUUUUGUUUUUUUGUAUCUUAGGAGAAAGAUUCAUCCGACUAAGACGUUUACCCUAGGAGAAAAUUCAUCAAACUAGAUUUUCUAUCUUAGGAGAAAGAUUCAUCAUACUAAGAUUUCUAUCCUAGGAGAAAAUUCAUCAGACAAGGUCUUCCAUCUUAGGAGAAAGAUUCAUCAGAAUAAGAUUUUGAUCCUAGGAGAAAGAUUCAUCAAACUAGGUCUUCUAUCUUAGGAGAAAGAUUCAUCAGACUAAGAUUUUGAUUGGGAGGAAAAUCCAUCAGACUAGGACUUUUUAUCCUAGGAGGAAAAAUGUGAAGAUCAAUGGCAAGAUUUUAUGCACAAUAGCAAGACAAAUAAAGGAAAAGAUUUGAGAAACUUCCCUUUGUAGGCUUUCCUCGUCUUUUCUUUUUCUUCUCUUUUUUUUGUUGUUGUUUUUUUUCCUUUUUUUUCAUUUUUUUUCUCUUUUUGAAUCACUUUCCUUGCACCGCUUUGUUCCUGUUUCAUACAAAGAAAAAUUUGUCAGUUUUGAAAAUAGUGGUCGGUUUGUGGCCUUGAGUCUUGGGCAGCUUGGCUUAUGCUCAAUCAGCUUGAGUCAGUCUCAAAAAGACUUUU
rnacentral:lncRNA from 1 species